rnacentral:rRNA from 1 species
UCCUACGGGAGGUAGCAGUGGGGAAUAUUGCACAAUGGGCGAAAGCCUGAUGCAGCAACGCCGCGUGAAGGAAGAAGGCCUUCGGGUCGUAAACUUCUGUCCUUGGGGAAGAAGAACUGACGGUACCCAAGGAGGAAGCCCCGGCUAACUACGUGCCAGCAGCCGCGGUAAUACGUAGGGGGCAAGCGUUAUCCGGAAUUAUUGGGCGUAAAGAGUGCGUAGGUGGCUUUUUAAGCGCAGGGUUUAAGGCAAUGGCCCAACCAUUGUUCGCCCUGCGAACUGAAUAGCUUGAGUGCAGGAGAGGA